rnacentral:sRNA from 1 species
UUGUCUACCUGACCAGAUGUUGCUUCGGCAGGCCCGCCGCCCCUGUCACGGGGUGGCCGCCGGGGGUCCUUACCGGCCCCGGGUCCGCGCCUGUCGACGGCCCUUCUAAACUCUUGCUUAAAACGUGUCGUCUGAGUAAAACAAACAAAAUAAAAAACAAAACUUUCAACAACGGAUCUCUUGGUUCUGGCAUCGAUGAAGAACGCAGCGAAAUGCGAUAAGUAAUGCGAAUUGCAGAAUCCGUGAGUCAUCGAAUCUUUGAACGCAUAUUGCGCCCUCUGGUAUUCCGGGGGGCAUGCCUGUUCGAGCGUCAUUAUCACCCCUCAAGCCCGGCUUGUUGUUGGACGUCGGCGGCGGCCUUUAGUGGCGUACCGCCCGUCUCAAAGAUAAUGACGGCGUCUGUGAGGACUCCUGUACACUGAGCUUUCGGGCACGUACUAGGUUGAUACUCGCAGACCCGGUCUAUAGGGUUCGCUUCGGCGUCCCCAACUUUUUUACCAAGGUUG